rnacentral:rRNA from 1 species
CCUUAUAAACUUAAAUGACGGGACCUGACUAAGAAGCACUCGCUAAAUACGUGCCAGCAGCCGCGGUAAUACGUAUGGUGCAAGCGUUAUCCGGAUUUACUGGGUGUAAAGGGAGCGCAGGCGGUGCGGCAAGUCUGAUGUGAAAGCCCGGGGCUCAACCCCGGUACUGCAUUGGAAACUGUCGUACUAGAGUGUCGGAGGGGUAAGCGGAAUUCCUGGUGUAGCGGUGAAAUGCGUAGAUAUUAGGAGGAACACCAGUGGCGAAGGCGGCUUACUGGACGAUUACUGACGUUGAGGCUCGAAAGCGUGGGGAGCAAACAGGAUUAGAUACCCUGGUAUUCCACGCCGUAAACGAUGAAUACUAGGUGUCAGGGGAGCAAAGCUCUUUGGUGCCGCAGCAAACGCAUUAAGUAUUCCACUUGGGGAGUACGUUCGCAAGAAUGAAACUCAAAGGAAUUGACGGGGACCCGCACAAGCGGUGGAGCAUGUGGUUUAAUUGGAAGCAACGCGAAGAACCUUACCUGGUCUUGACAUCCUUUUGAUCGGUCCGUAAUGGGACCUUUCCUUCGGGACAAGAGUGACAGGUGGUGCAUGGUUGUCGUCAGCUCGUGUCGUGAGAUGUUGGGUUAAGUCCCGCAACGAGCGCAACCCUUAUUUUUAGUAGCCAGCAUUUCGGAUGGGCACUCUAGAGAGACUGACAAGGAUAACCUGGAGGAAGGUGGGGAUGACGUCAAAUCAUCAUGCUCCUUAUGACCAGGGCUACACACGUGCUACAAUGGCGUAAACAAAGAGAAGCGAAGUCGCGAGGCCGAGCAAAUCUCAAAAAUAACGUCUCAGUUCGGAUUGUAGUCUGCAACUUGUCUACAUGAAGCUGGAAUCCCUAGUAAUCGCAGAUCAGAAUGCUGACGGUGAAUACGUUCCCGGGUCUUGUACACACCGCCCGUCACACCAUGGGAGUCAGUAACUCCCGAAGUCAGUGACCCAACCGCAAGGAGGGA